UGCUGGUUUGGAGACCCACUUGGACUGGCUUCUAAUCGUCUG
rnacentral:rRNA from 1 species